AUUGAACGCUGGCGGCAGGCCUAACACAUGCAAGUCGAGCGGAUGAAGGGAGCUUGCUCCUGGAUUCAGCGGCGGACGGGUGAGUAAUGCCUAGGAAUCUGCCUGGUAGUGGGGGAUAACGUCCGGAAACGGGCGCUAAUACCGCAUAAGUCCUGAGGGAGAAAGUGGGGGGUCUUCGGACCUCACGCUAUCAGAUGAGCCUAGGUCGGAUUAGCUAGUUGGUGGGGUAAAGGCCUACCAAGGCGACGAUCCGUAACUGGUCUGAGAGGAUGAUCAGUCACACUGGAACUGAGACACGGUCCAGACUCCUACGGGAGGCAGCAGUGGGGAAUAUUGGACAAUGGGCGAAAGCCUGACCCAGCCAUGCCGCGUGUGUGAAGAAGGUCUUCGGAUUGUAAAGCACUUUAAGUUGGGAGGAAGGGCAGUAAGUUAAUACCUUGCUGUUUUGACGUUACCAACAGAAUAAGCACCGGCUAACUUCGUG
rnacentral:rRNA from 1 species